rnacentral:tRNA from 1 species
GGGCCCGUGGCUCAGUCAGGCUAGAGCGGCGGACUCUUAAUCCGUAGGUCGCGGGUUCAAUUCCCGUCGGGCCCGCCA